rnacentral:lncRNA from 1 species
GCUGGACAGGCAUCUUUGUUUGGGAACAACCAACCUAAGAUUGGAGGGCCUCUUGGUACAGGAGCCUUUGGGGCCCCUGGAUUUAAUACUACGACAGCCACUUUGGGCUUUGGAGCCCCCCAGGCCCCAGUACUUUGACAGAUCCAAAUGCUUCUGCUGCCCAGCAGGCUGUUCUCCAGCAGCACAUCAAUAGUCUAACAUACUCACCUUUUGGAGACUCUCCUCUCUUCCGGAAUCCGAUGUCAGACCCUAAGAAGAAGGAAGAAGAUUGAAACCAACAAAUCCAGCAGCCCAGAAGGCUCUUACUACACCUACUCAUUAUAAACUGACACCCCGCCCUGCCACUAGAGUCCGGCCAAAGGCUUUACAAACAACAGGCACAGCCAAGUCACAUCUCUUUGAUGGGCUGGAUGACGAUGAACCAUCCCUAGCCAAUGGAGCAUUCAUGCCCAAGUGAGUUUAUUUUUGUUAACAGAAAUUAAGUGUAAAAUACUGAUAUAAA